CUCUAGGUGCCUUUUUGUUUGACCAAUAUAUGCAGCGUUGCAAUUAGCACAAUCAAUCUCAUAUAUCAACUCCGUUUGCUUAAGAUUUGCAAAAAAUGUGAGUAGCA